AUGUCCGACUCUUUUGCGACCCAAUGGACUGUAGCCUUCCAGGCUCCUCUGUCCAUGGAAUUCCCCAGGCAAUACUGGAGUGGGUUGCCAUGCCUUCCUCCAGGGAUCUUCCCAACCCAAGGAUCGAAUCCUUGUCUCAUGCACUGGCAGUCGGAUUCUUUACCACUGAGCUACCUUACUGUUAAAGAACACCAGACAUUUCAAGUUAAGGAAUUUAGCGCUUGUCUAUGCAUGGGAAAGUUGCAAAAGUCUGGGCUUGCUGACGUCAUUCCUUGGUAUACCCUCUGCUCUCUGGGCCAGAAUACCGUGUUUUCUCAUCCUGAGUCUCCUCAGGGUACCCCCUGGCGGUGGCUGCAGCGGCUGACUUCUAGCUGGGGAGUGGGUGCUUCCUGCCUCCAUCCUGAGUUCCCUCAGGGCUUAUGGUCUGUGUGGCUGGUAAUGUGGUGGCUUGAAGGUUGCAGCAUCCUUGUUUACCAAUAUGGCAGCAACAUCUGUCAUUCACAGAUGCAGGGUUGCAAUAGGCAAGUCCUCCCCACCACCAAGCCCCCUUUCUUCUGCAGGGUCCAGUCUCAGACCCCGUGUCACCACAGUCCUGUCUUCGAGGGCAUAAAAGACAGGCUGCUUUGGACUUGUCAGUACCUGCCAGUGUCCAGGCAGAACAGCCACAGGAUGCCCGAUUCUCUUGUGUUACCUACACCAGGAUUAGAUUUUCUUUUGUAUCUUGGCCCAAUUUAUUUAUUUCUUUUUAUGGUUUCCUGUGGCAUACGGGAUCACAGUUCCCCAACCAGGUAUCAAACCCACAACCCCUGCAGUGGAACACAAAGUCUUAACCACUGGACCACCAAGGAAUCUUCUGAGUCAGGGGAGUUAGCAUUUAUCAAGCGUGCUGGAGUAAAAAAAGAAAAAAGAGUUAUGGGGCUUUCAGAAACCUGCUGGGUUCAUGCCAUUUAUUUUGGGCCACUAGGAAGAAUGGUGCCCCCCUUUUUUCCCUCUACUGAGAUAUAA
rnacentral:lncRNA from 1 species